rnacentral:miRNA from 1 species
UCAUGAGCUCUCAUGGUAACGGCCCCGGAACCCAAAGACACGUGCCCGUGGACUUAUUUCGGGCGUGUACUUUGGAUUCCGUGCGCGUUGCUAUGA